rnacentral:rRNA from 1 species
GCCCAAAAUUUAGCCGACCAACUACACUAAACCUUUUUCCUCACUAAGUCAAAACAUUUGCCCCGGCCAGUAAAUGAGAUUAAACACCACCAACCGGCCUUCUAAGUACCGCAAGGGAACAAUGAAAGAACAAUGAAAAACCUUAAGCAAAACACAGCAAAGAUUAUUUCCCGUACCUCCUGCAUCAUGGUCUAGCAAAACACACCCAGACAAAGAGAACCUUUAGCCUGUUCUCCCGAAACCAAGCGAGCUAUUUUUAGGCAGCACUUAGAGCACACCCAUCUCUGUAGCAAAAGAGCGGGAAGACCUAAAAAUAGAGGUAAAAAACCAAUCGAGCUUGGUGAUAGCUGGUUACUCAACAAAAGAAUCUAAGUUCAACUUUAGGUAAAUAAUAAGCCCGUAUCUACUUAAACUACUCCUUUUAACCUAAAGAAAAUCAAUGGGGGUACAGCCCCAUUGAUCCGGGAUACAGCCCGAACUGUGAGAAACUUUUUCUUUUUUUCUAGUUGGCUUCAAGGCAGCCAUCAAAUAAUCGCGUUAUAGCGAAGAACUAAAACAAUUCUUACUAUAUAAUACUUCUCCUGAUUUUCCUGAGCCAUUCUAUAAUUAUAUAGAAAUACCAAUGCUAAAAUUAGUAAUAAGAAAUAUUUGUUUCUCUAUGCAUACCUUUAAAUCAGAAUAGAAAAACUACUGAUAGUUAACAAACUAAAACACAGACCCACAACCACACCUAGCCAAAUGUCCCCAAAAAAUUGUCACCCCAACACAGGCAUGCAAAAAAGAAAGGCCAAAAUCCGUAAAAGGAACUCGGCAAAACUUAGUCCCAACUGUUUACCAAAAACAUAGCCUUUAGCCCAACAAGUAUUAAAGGUCCCGCCUGCCCAGUGACUCUUUUAAACGGCCGCGGUAUCCUAACCGUGCAAAGGUAGCAUAAUCACUUGUUCCAUAAAUUGGGACUAGUAUGAACGGCUAAAUGAGGACUAAACUGUCUCUUACGGACAGCCAAUGAAAUUGAUCUUCCAGUACAAAAGCUGGAAUAAACCCAUAAGACGAGAAGACCCUGUGGAGCUUAAAAGUCAAACCCAUCAAACAUGGGUUUUGAGUCUUUAGUUGGGGCGACUUUGGAGUACAAAAAAACCUCCAAAAACCAGCCAUCAAGGUCAACACACCAAGACAGCUACACUAGACCCAGCAACCUCCACCCAAGUUGUCUGACCAAUGAACCAAGUUACCCCAGGGAUAACAGCGCCAUCCCCUUCUAGAGUCCCUAUCGACAAGGGGGUUUACGACCUCGAUGUUGGAUCAGGACACCCCAAUGGUGCAGCCGCCAUUAAAGGUUCGUUUGUUCAACGAUUAAAGUCCUACGUGAUCUGAGUUCAGACCGGAGAAAUCCAGGUCGGUUUCUAUCUAUGAUGCACUUUCCUUAGUACGAAAGGACCAGGAUAGUAGGACCAAUACCUAAAGAAAGUCCUAACAAAAAUUACUGACUUCACUAAAGUAACAGGCGUACCUUACCCUAUUACCCAAAAUAAGGACUUU